rnacentral:tRNA from 1 species
GGCCCGUUAGCUCAGCGGUCAGAGCAAGAGCCUCUAAAACUCCGGGUCGUGGGUUCGAAUCCCACACGGGCCACCA